UAGGUUGAAGCCCGCUGGAUUGGGCGGCUGGUUGUUAACUAGCGAUUUACGGGAUCGAGGCCCGUCGGUCUAG
rnacentral:tRNA from 1 species